UUUUCACAACAACGAUGGCGUCGUCCUUAGAACCGUCUCCGUGCGGCUCGGGGCGGCGUUUCAUCAGCGGGCACGUCGCGGCUUCCUGUUUUCAGGAAGUAAUCCCAUCUAGAAUGGACUCACGCGGGGUCGUCUGAAUCCUUAACUUUACGAGAACUCCCCAUACUCCUUCGGUGGGGUGACCUGCCGUUGGAACCAACAAAAACCUUUUUUUGCAUCUAGCAUUACCUGUUCUGAUACAAACAAUCGUUACAACUUUCAACAAUGGAUCUCUUGGCUCUGGCAUCGAUGAAGAACGCAGCGAAAUGCGAUAAGUAGUGUGAAUUGCAGAAUUCAGUGAAUCAUCGAAUCUUUGAACGCACAUUGCGCCCCUUGGUAUUCCAUGGGGCAUGCCUGUUCGAGCGUCAUCUACACCCUCAAGCUCUGCUUGGUGUUGGGCGUCUGUCCCGCCUCCGCGCGUGGACUCGCCCCAAAUUCAUUGGCAGCGGUCUUCUUGCCCCCUCUCGCGCAGCACAUUGCGUUUCUCGAGGGUGGCGGGCCGCUGUCACACGAAAGCAACU
rnacentral:rRNA from 1 species